UACGAGGGGGGCGAGCGUUGUUCGGAAUUAUUGGGCGUAAAGGGUGCGUAGGCGGUUUGGUAAGUCUCGUGUGAAAUCUCCGGGAUCAACUCGGAGCCUGCACGAGAAACUGCCGGGCUUGAGUGUGGGAGAGGUGAGUGGAAUUCCUGGUGUAGCGGUGAAAUGCGUAGAUAUCAGGAGGAACACCUGUGGUGUAGACAGCUUACUGGACCACUUCUGACGCUGAGACACGAAAGCGUGGGUAGCAAACAGG
rnacentral:rRNA from 1 species